AUGAAAAUUGUCACCGGGGUGCUUGCCUUUGCUGUCCAGCUCCUCCCACAGUUUGAGGGCUCCACAGAUUUGCCUGAGGAGGCGGACAUGGCAGCCUGCCUGGGUCUUUCUAUCAACGACCCAGUGGAGAGCAUCAGCUGCUACGCCAGGGGGAGCGUGUAUCGGCUGGUGCAAAUCCUCCUACAUCAGCGGGGAGAAGCAAAUCCCCGUCAGGGUGGUCGGCAAGCUGCUCCUCAUGAAGUGCUUCAAAGAGCUGCCUCAAGAGCUGCAAGGGCACAGCCUGCUGGCCGGCUCCUCCGCGACCCCCUCCUCCCUCCAGCAGCCCACGCUUGCUCCCGCAGGUACCGGCCUGUGCCCUCUGCCUGUGGGGAGCAGGGAUUUGUGUGAAGAGAGGCGGUGGCUCGCAGCACUGACACCGACCUGCUCCCUGCCGUGUGUCGGGUACUCUCCCCUCCGCCC
rnacentral:lncRNA from 1 species